rnacentral:rRNA from 1 species
UACGUAGGGUGCGAGCGUUGUCCGGAAUUAUUGGGCGUAAAGAGCUUGUAGGCGGUCUGUCGCGUCUGCUGUGAAAAUCCGGGGCUCUACCCCGGACUUGCAGUGGGUACGGGCAGACUAGAGUGUGGUAGGGGAGACUGGAAUUCCUGGUGUAGCGGUGAAAUGCGCAGAUAUCAGGAGGAACACCGAUGGCGAAGGCAGGUCUCUGGGCCACUACUGACGCUGAGAAGCGAAAGCAUGGGGAGCGAACAGG